rnacentral:rRNA from 1 species
GGGUCAUUAGGUUGGUCGUGCCACCGGUACGUACUGGUCUCACUGAUUCCUCCUUCCUGAAGAACCGUAAUGCCAUUAAUUUGGUGUUGCGGGGAAACAGGACUGUUACUUUGAAAAAAUUAGAGUUUUUAAAGCAAGCUAACGCUUGAAUACAUUAGCAUGGAAUAAUGAAAUAGGACGAUCGAUCCUAUUUUGUUGGUUUCUAGGAUUGACGUA